CAGCACGCUGUGUACCACUCUUGAUGGGUAGGCCCACUCUGCCCGCACCUUGAAACCUGACCAGGUCUUCUCCCACCCCAUGAAUGUAAACAUUUUAACAACUAGCCUGACUGUGAAAAGCCUGGAGAAUCCUUCCUACAGGGGACAGUGGUGCAAAGAGAAGCUGGACAGGCGCCCACACCUGGCUGGCACGCACACCUGUGUGCACCGAGGGGGAACUGACGAGCACCUGAAUUGCCGAGCCAGGCUGCAGUAAGUCAUUAGGAUCGGGGUGAGAUGCCCCCACAGGGACAAGGGAGGGGUGAGAAUCAGAGGGGUUUCUUUUCUCAGCUAAGAAAGGCCCCAGGGGCAGCCUCUGCCCCACAUGGCUCUCAGUACCAGCGAUGGGCAGGGUCCCUUCGUUCUCAUUGCGGUUUCCCCAGGGCUCCCACACCACCAGCUGCCUCUUCUAGAAACUCCCCAUCAGGCCUUCUCCCCCGCGAAUCUUGGUAACGUCCUUGCUGCCUCUCUCACACCCUCCUGUCCUCCUCUUCCUACAAACAUGCUCCUGUCUCCAUCCCACCUUGAAGAAACCCUUGGCCGAUACGGCACCCACCCAUGGUCCCAGGAUAACCCCUUUUCUUCCCUAGGCUAAUAAAACAGAGAAAGUAAGUGCAUCGGGCACUCCAGACCAAAGCCAUUUGCAGAAUGGAGUCACAGGCUGACAUCCAAGACUUUAGCCAGCUGGCUUCAGGCAGCAGAUGCAAAGGAGAGGUCAUGAGCAGGCCAGGCCCUGGCUAGGCAGGUGAGAGGUGACGGCGACCUUGUCUAGGAUGAGGGCCCCAGGAAGCCCUUGGGAACCCAGGGUGGUUAGGCCAGGCCAGUUGGUGAGAGCCUGAACUCUGGAAGGAAAGAACAGGCUGUAGUGUGGACGAGACCAUCCCUCCUGCAUCGUAGCUGCCUUGUAAUCCCAUCCUCCUGACUCAGGCUGGGCUCUGCAUCAGGCACCCCAGAGUCCAGGCACCCCAGUUUGUCAGGCCUGUGUGGGACAGCGCCUGAGCCGGGAGGGCUCCCUUCCCUCCUCCGGGAUGCUCUGGCCUUGUCUCUGUCAUGGCCAUUUAUUGCAACCACGGUCAAUAAAGGAGGCAGGAGAGGGCACAGUGGCUGUGAAAACGUUUGGCUCACGAGGAACAGGUAUCCUAACUGCGUGGGACAAGGAGGCGGGUGGUGUCGUGAUUAAAGCACAGGCCUGGGAUCACACUGCAGGGGCUCAGAUCCCAGAUCUGCAACAAUGUGGCUGCGAUGACCCUGGCUGGGCGCGGUGGCUCAAGCCCCCCAGUCUCCGAUUUGCCAGCCUGGCUGUUCACACACAGGGGAUGCACUGGCUUCCCAGGCAUCCUGGGCACCCCCUCCAGGUGGCAUAGGGGCUCCCCAGCACUGAAGGGUGUUCAGCAGCCUGCAAACCAACUGACUCACAGAGCCCAGAUAGUGACGCCAAGACCAGCCGCUCCGGGGCCAACAUCAGAGCUGGAGAGCUGAGCCAGUGGCACGCCAGUCACUGAGGAAGGCCUCUUGUUGAUAAAGACAGGGCAUGAAUUCUUGGGGGGCUGUUACGUACCUUCCCAAAGGGAGAAAGAAACCCCUUGUUCAGUCACCGCACAGCUGUCUCUGGAGACAGGAGCACAAAGCUGCCUUCUGCCCAGGGCACUGCUUCCUUGGCAAGUGACCAGCAGCUGGGACCGCACGUGCCAAAGGCAGCAGCUGCCAUGUUUGACAAACUGGAACGGAGCUAUGUCCAAAUUAAAUCCCCCCAACCAGCCUCUGCCAUACUCCCUUUGGGGACAGGGGUGGUCGGUCGUUACGCUUGCAAAAUUCCAACAGCACCUAGAGUCCCAGGAAAUGGGGCUGCUGGCCAAUAGAGGUGGGACCCAGGGUGACAGGCCACAUGCUCCUUAGAGAGCCAACAGUGUUUCCUGAAUUCCAUGGGAGUUUGCCGAGGGGACAUGGAAGCUAGGAUUCCGGAACACCCGCUGGGAGCCUAGUCCUGGGCUAGGGGCUGCAUUUAUCAUUUCAUCCUCACAACUACUGUUGCAGUUUCGCCUAACAGAGAAGGAGACAAAACUAACCCGGUGGCCACGUGGCCGAAGGCACAGAGCCGUUGAGUGGCAGCGUGGCAUUUGAAUUCAGGCCGGUGAUGCUGAAGUCCCCAGGUCUUUUUUUUUUUGAUGCCCACAACAAUGUAACUACUAAUAGCCUGUUAUUGAUGCAGGCCUUACCAAUAACAUAAAUAGUUGAUGAACAC
ensembl:lncRNA LINC01987 long intergenic non-protein coding RNA 1987